AGAAUUUUUGGAUCAAUACCAUUAGAUAUGGAAAUCUUUGUGACGUAAGUACAGUGACAUCCCUUCGAUUGCAAAAGCGUGCAGCACGUACGCACGUGAAACGCGCAAGUCGUUACAGUUCUGUAAACAAGUUCUAACAAUAUAUCACGAUGUGUUUGAUGUGUUCGCAGUUGUUGUGACAACUUUGGAACAAGUUGUUAUCACCUUGUCACGAGGUUAAUGGCGCUAACUGACUCGCUACAAGUUGUUCCAACAAGACUAAUACAGGCUGUUCCAACGAGCUCGUUGUAACCAACUUGCUAGUAACGUGUUACGUGCAGACGAUAUCAGACCUAUUGCAACGACUUGUUAUGAGUCUGUUGGCCUCUCAUCAACCUUGUUACAAGAUGAUAACAACUUGUCCAAGACUAGUCAACAACUGGGAACAAGCAGUGUCAACACAUGAAUUUGAUCUUUACGCGUGUCUUAUUCUAGAUGCUGACUGUUCUAUUCCUCCGAAAUUCAAAUCCAAUUCAUCUUUCACCUCCAAGGCCCCAGGUCCAAAUCUCAGUGCGAACUUUCUCAACGCGACUCGAACCCAGUCUCCACGCUAAAAGAGCAAAAGCCAACGCUCCGCUGAAAGUCGUGGACCCCUUCGGGUACUCCGGUCUCCCCCACAUUCGGGUACUCCGGUCUCCUCCACAGGGAACGUUGACAGGGUGGGUUAGGUAAAAGGGUCCACAGUAAUUGGCAUAUGCUGCUUUGGUAACCCUGCCCUAGUUGGCAAAGCUAAUAAAAUAAGACAAAAACUUGCUCCAUGCUCGUCUAAACAGAUGGUUAAGUGGUAUUUCUUUUCAGUGUAUUUGCCAUGAAAAGUGUUCAGAACCUAAAAUCUAUUUGGCGUUCCUUUCAAAAUUACUUUGUUUUAGCUUUAUUUUGUAAUUUACACAGUUUGCAAGCUUUUUAAAUGCAUCUGGCGUUUGAGGAAGGCAAGAUAAUAGUUAAAUAUAUUGUCAAUUCAAAUACAGUUAUUAUUAAUGCUGUAUUUAUACAGCCAUACAAGCAAAACUCAUUGAACUUCAGACAUCAUUUUCUCUUGCAUGGUUGAGCUACUCGCCCUAUAUCAGCUCAUAUUUUAAAAUUUUCCAUUGCAUUCCUUUACCGAUAUCUUUCUCCGUUCUUGAAAUUUUUGACCAAAAACAAUGGACUGUUUGCCAUCGCGGAUGGACUGUCUGCCAUCUUUUGAUUAACGAUCUAUUUGGUAACGUGGAAAACAGCAUUAAUGAAGGCUAAGUAUGUAACUAUAAGUAAGUGUAAUACUUGACUUCAAGCGAAUUUGAUCAUAAUUAUUCACAUGUAAAAAUUUAUAAUAUGUUAAUAUUAAUGCUCCAUAAAAAUAUUAAUAUUAUUUUUUUCUUCUUUGACAGCAAUAGUGCGUGCAUGUGAUAUACGGCGAUACAAGACUGCCUGAACGAAAGAAAAAUUACAAAAAUGACAGCUGCUGCUGCCAGAAACUCGAACAGCCCAAAGAGAUGCAGGAGCGACCAUUUCUUCCACCAGACUCCAGAGAUAAUGCAGCAAAAAACAUAAUCAUAAUUCAUAUACUUAUGCAUUAAGAAUUUCUGACGCGAAACUACAAAUCUAAACCGUUACUAAUAGUGAUUGAGGACCGUAUUUUGAAGCAAUAAAAGACUCGAAACACUAGCUGCAAGUUGCCAGUCCUAACUGGCACCCCUAAUAUUUCGGGGCGAACUGUCUACCGCCGAUGCGAAAUUUUGAACUUGUUCGUUUUCAAAGCUGCAUCAAAUCUAUUCCUGUUUAUCCCUAUAAUUGAUAUAAAUAAUAUAAUUCGUUUUCGAUAUCUUAAAUAUUUAUAUAAUUAUCACCUCUCUUAGGCUGUCUGA
rnacentral:lncRNA from 1 species